rnacentral:rRNA from 1 species
AACGAACGCUGGCGGCAGGCCUAACACAUGCAAGUCGAGCGCACCCUUCGGGGUGAGCGGCGGACGGGUGAGUAACGCGUGGGAACGUGCCCUUCUCUGCGGAAUAGCCUCGGGAAACUGAGAGUAAUACCGCAUACGCUCUUUGGGGGAAAGAUUUAUCGGAGAAGGAUCGGCCCGCGUUGGAUUAGGUAGUUGGUGGGGUAAUGGCCCACCAAGCCGACGAUCCAUAGCUGGUUUGAGAGGAUGAUCAGCCACACUGGGACUGAGACACGGCCCAGACUCCUACGGGAGGCAGCAGUGGGGAAUCUUAGACAAUGGGGGCAACCCUGAUCUAGCCAUGCCGCGUGAGUGAUGAAGGCCUUAGGGUUGUAAAGCUCUUUCAGCUGGGAAGAUAAUGACGGUACCAGCAGAAGAAGCCCCGGCUAACUCCGUG